AUUGAACGCUGGCGGCAUGCCUUACACAUGCAAGUCGAACGGUAACAGGGAGCUUGCUCCGCUGACGAGUGGCGAACGGGUGAGUAAUAUAUCGGAACGUGCCCUAGAGUGGGGGAUAACUAGUCGAAAGAUUAGCUAAUACCGCAUACGAUCUAAGGAUGAAAGUGGGGGAUCGCAAGACCUCAUGCUCGUGGAGCGGCCGAUAUCUGAUUAGCUAGUUGGUAGGGUAAAAGCCUACCAAGGCAUCGAUCAGUAGCUGGUCAGAGAGGACGACCAGCCACACUGGGACUGAGACACGGCCCAGACUCCUACGGGAGGCAGCAGUGGGGAAUUUUGGACAAUGGGCGCAAGCCUGAUCCAGCAAUGCCGCGUGAGUGAAGAAGGCC
rnacentral:rRNA from 1 species